rfam:Nicotiana attenuata strain TT chromosome 10, whole genome shotgun sequence.
CCAUAACAAUGUCAUGGAUUCCAAAUAUUUGUAACUGUAACGGUCCUAAGGUAGCGAAAUUCCUUGUCGGGUAAGUUCCGACCCGCACGAAAGG